rnacentral:lncRNA from 1 species
ACAUUUCACAGUCGCCAUGACGACCGGGAGGUCCGCUCGUCAACGGCUAGUCAACGGCUGCGGGGACAAGUCCGUUGAGGCUGCCAGGCGAGUCAGGCCUUUCUGGACCUCGCCUGACUCGGAUGGGCUGUGCCUGAAAUUGACCCAGCUCCACUAGGGAUUAUGAAGAAACAAGGAGUAAACCCAAAGCCGCUGCAAUCUUCCCGCCCCAGCCCGUCUAAGCGGCCGUACGGGGCCUCCCCCGCCCGGGAGCUGGAGGUGGAAAAGUCGGCCCUAGGCGGCGGGAAACUGCCAGGGGGCGCCAGGAGGUCCUCCCCGGGGAGGAUCCCAAAUCUGAAAAAGCGAAAAGGCUUGGAGCUAAAGGUGGUGGCCAAGACCCUUCUCGACCCCUUCCAGUUCGUCCGUAAUUCCCUGGCGCAGCUCCGGGAAGAGGUGCACGAACUGCAGGCGCGGUGGUUCCCCAGCAGAACCACUCUCAGCAUCGGUUACAUUUAGUAACACUUUUUGAAAAUGAUCGUCAUUUCUCUCACCUCUCAUCUUUGGAAUGGGAGAUGACUUUUCGCACUAAAAUGGGACUUUAUUAUUCCUACUUCAAGACCAUCAUUGAAGCACCUUCAUUUUUGGAAGGACUGUGGAUGAUUAUGAAUGACAGGCUUACUGAAUAUCCUCUUGUAAUUAAUACAGUAAAACGCUUCCAUCUUUAUCCAGAGAUGCUGUCUUCGCAGGUGCCAUGCCUACAAUGGCAAGCGUCAAGCUGUCUACACUUCAUCCCAUUGUGAAUCAUCCACUUUACGAAGAUGCAGACUUGAGGCCUGGUUGCAGUAUGCUUGAAAUCUGUGAUGUGGAAGACCCUUCCAAUGCAGCUAACCCUCCCUUAUGUAGCGUCCUGCUCAAAGAUGCCAGGCCUUACUUCACCACAGUAUUUCAGAAUAGUGUGUACAGAGUAUUGAGGGUUAACUGAGAAGGAAACUACCCAUUACACUAUGGCACAAUGUGGUGUGUCAAAAACAAUCACCCUUUGGCUUAUUUACAUUAAUAAAAAUCACAAGCUUUAAUAACAGACACUUAAAAAUAAGAUAAAAAUGGAUUGAAAGUUUCUCUGAUUACUAAAAGGUAAAUUACUUUUCUGUUCAUUGAAUGUCAGCCUUAUUAAGCUUGUCAUAUAAGUUAUUAAAUCAUUCAUGUCAUACUGCAUAAACAAAUGUUCAUUUCAGAAUUUUAAAGAAAAAUGUAUAUAAAAGAACAAUGAAUUUUAAUAAAUCAAGGGUACGUAAGUCCUUUUUCAUCCAACUAGGUGAAUUGCUUCAGAUUUUCCCUAGUACCAGAGUGUACCUGCUCAAACUCUUUGAACCACUUAAGGGAGAAGAACGCAAGCUCUGAAAUGACAUCCUUAAAAUGCUGAUACUGAUCACAACCUCUUUACCUCUGUGAGCAAAUUGUAACAGUGUGUCUUUUAAGGUGUUUUUAUUUCACCAGCCCUUAAGAAAGAUCUCUAAUACCUUUUAAUACUUUUUUUUUAUAAUUUCAAGUUGAAGUGUUUUUAAAAACACCUUGUUUUGUAACGUUUUGAAUCUCUUGAGAUGUAUUUACCCCACUAGAUACAUAUUUGCCACUGGUUAGUUCUCCAUCUAAGCUCAAGAGGUUAUUCAUCUCUCUUUAGAUUCCAAUGGUUUUUCUUUUAACAUCCAGGUAAAAUAGAAACUGCUAUGGUAUACAACCAAAUUUUGGGGUUAAACAUAAUCAGAAAAGAAAAUCCAGUUAAAUUUAUGAAGUGAGAUUUUCAGAUCCUAGAUCUUGAAUAAAGCAAACGGCUUUUCAUCUUGAUGGCCCCAAAGCUUGUUGGUCAUGGUCUUUAUUUCUGGCCACUAUCAUCUUCUUAAAUAAUAUAUUUUUAAGCCCUCAUUUAUUUUUGGUUUUGGAUGAGGAAAGUCAUGUUUUCUAAGUCCUCUCCCCUAAUAAAACCUACCCAACAAUAGUGCUUUGAAAAGUGGUAGUUAUCUUGAAGAUAGAUACUCUUGCCAAAUGCAAAGAUAAACAUUCUUUUUGUCUGCUUUAUAAAUAUGAAAUAUGCCAGAUCUAUAGUAUUUUAAUGUGCAUCUACUUUAAAUGAGUCAUCUUGGGGUUUUUAUAAUUCCCUUACAUUCUUGCCCCUCUACACUUGAAAUAACAAAAUGCCUUAAUUUUAUAGAUUAGUUCUCUUAUAGCAGACAGGCAGCUAUAUGCAGCAAAACCAAUAAAGUUAUUUUUCAACUUUAAUAGUUGUAAAAUGUUAUAACAGAAUACAUAACAGCUAAGAAAACAUGCCACAUUUUAUUUUAGCAUUUUCAAAUAAUUUGUUUUUGGUGUAAGCACAGGAUAAAAAAGGAGAGCGUCAAAGAAAAGAGACUUAAAAAAAUAACAUUCAUAAAAAUUAACAAAGUAUAUUUUGGAUGAUGUUUUUACAGGAAAUAGUUUAAGUUGGUAGAAUUUUUAAAAUGGUACUGUAUUAGCUAAUAAAAUAUUCAGUACAUAUAUAUGUUUGGAUUUAUGCAUUAAAAAACUAAUAAAAUUAUUUCCAACUUU